UAUUUUCCUUUUUUUCCCUCAGCCGCGGUAAUACGGAAGGUCCGGGCGUUAUCCGGAUUUAUUGGGUUUAAAGGGAGCGUAGGCCGGAGAUUAAGCGUGUUGUGAAAUGUAGACGCUCAACGUCUGCACUGCAGCGCGAACUGGUUUCCUUGAGUACGCACAAAGUGGGCGGAAUUCGUGGUGUAGCGGUGAAAUGCUUAGAUAUCACGAAGAACUCCGAUUGCGAAGGCAGCUCACUGGAGCGCAACUGACGCUGAAGCUCGAAAGUGCGGGUAUCGAACAGG
rnacentral:rRNA from 1 species